UGUGUCCACUAGGGGAGCUUCUAUAGCUGAGAAAAGGCUUUGACCUUUGACCCUUUGAACCUGAUCCGGUUUAUUCCGGCGUAGGGAAGUGGUGUGUAGAACGC
rnacentral:ncRNA from 2 species